rnacentral:rRNA from 1 species
UACGGGGGGAGCAAGCGUUGUUCGGAUUUACUGGGCGUAAAGGGCGCGUAGGCGGCCACCGCAAGUCGACUGUGAAAUCUCCGGGCUUAACCCGGAAAGGUCAGCCGAUACUGCGGGGCUAGAGUGCAGAAGGGGCAACUGGAAUUCUCGGUGUAGCGGUGAAAUGCGUAGAUAUCGAGAGGAACACCAGUGGCGAAGGCGAGUCCCUGGACAAAACCUGACACUGAAAAGCGAAAGCCAGGGGAGCAAACGGG